GAAUAAACUUGGUUAGGUUGCUGCUGGUCUUUAGGGACAUGUGCACACCUGAUUCAAUUUUAACCACCUGUGCACCUUUUGUAGACUUGGAUAUUUGUCUGAGGAAACUCAGUAUGAGGAUUGCUGUGCGAAAGUCAGCUUUUCUUGCAUUCCUAGUCUAUGUUUUAUAUACCCCAAUAAGCAAGUAAUAGAAUGUAAUUAAUAGGCCUUUUGUGCCUUUAAAGCAAAUAUAACUUUCAACAACGGAUCUCUUGGCUCU
rnacentral:misc_RNA from 1 species